GACCAAAUGAAGAGUGAAGUUAGUUUAUCGAUGGUAUAAAUAUUGCAAACUUGAACUUUCCAAACUAUGGAUAAGAUAAGGUGUAAUAGGCAACUCAAUUGCAAUUAUCUUGGACUUCUUUUUACGUAAAGAACUUCUAUGUUUCAUUCAAUUAUGUAAGCAAGCACAAAAAUGUCUUGCCAAUGUUAACUUCAGCGGCUAGACAAGAAGGUCGGU
rnacentral:lncRNA from 1 species